AUUGAACGCUGGCGGCAGGCCUAACACAUGCAAGUCGAGCGAGCGGCGGACGGGUGAGUAAUGUCUGGGAAACUGCCUGAUGGAGGGGGAUAACUACUGGAAACGGUAGCUAAUACCGCAUACCAUCAGAUGUGCCCCGAUGGGAUUAGCUAGUAGGUGGGGUAACGGCUCACCUAGGCGACGAUCUCUAGCUGGUCUGAGAGCAUGACCAGCCACACGGGAACUGAGACACGGUCCAGACUCCUACGGGAGGCAGCAGUGGGGAAGAUUGCACAAUGGGGGAAAGCCUGAUGCGGCCAUGCCGCGUGGGUGAAGAAGGCCUUCGGGUUGUAAAGCAAUUUCAGCGGGGAGGCGUUACCCGCAGAAGAAGCACCGGCUAACUCCGUGCCAGCCGCCGCGGUAAUUC
rnacentral:rRNA from 1 species